rnacentral:rRNA from 1 species
UGCAAGUCGAACGCGGAGUUUCCUUCGGGAGGCGAGUAGAGUGGCGCACGGGUGAGUAACACGUAGGUAAUCUACCUUUGGAUGGGGAAUAACAACCGGAAACGGUUGCUAAUACCGCAUAAUGCAGCGGCACCUAAUGGUGACAGUUGUUAAAGCGGGGGAUCGAAAGACCUCGCGUCUGAAGAGGAGCCUGCGGCGGAUUAGCUAGUUGGUAAGGUAAUGGCUUACCAAGGCGAUGAUCCGUAACCGGCCUGAGAGGGCGGUCGGUCACACUGACACUGACAUACGGGUCAGACUCCUACGGGAGGCAGCAGUCGGGAAUUUUGGGCAAUGGGCGAAAGCCUGACCCAGCAACGCCGCGUGAAGGAUGAAAUCCCUCGGGAUGUAAACUUCGCAAGAACAGGAAGAAUAAGUAAGGGUUAAUAUCCCUUACGAUGACGGUACUGUUUGUAAGCUCCGGCUAACUCCGUGCCAGCAGCCGCGGUAAUACGGGGGGAGCAAGCGUUGUUCGGAUUUACUGGGCGUAAAGGGCGCGUAGGCGGCCACCGCAAGUCGGUUGUGAAAUCUCUGGGCUUAACCCAGAAAGGUCAACCGAUACUGCGGGGCUAGAGUGCAGAAGGGGCAACUGGAAUUCUCGGUGUAGCGGUGAAAUGCGUAGAUAUCGAGAGGAACACCUGCGGCGAAGGCGGGUUGCUGGGCUGACACUGACGCUGAAGCGCGAAAGCUAGGGGAGCGAACGGGAUUAGAUACCCCGGUAGUCCUAGCCUUAAACGAUGAAUGCUUGGUGUCUGGGGUUUUAUAGUCCCCGGGUGCCGUCGCUAACGCUUUAAGCAUUCCGCCUGGGGAGUACGGUCGCAAGACUG